rnacentral:lncRNA from 1 species
GAGGCAUCACAAAAGUGGCCACGAGAGGCAGGUGAAGGCCCCCAAAGUCUCCACCAUCGUCCGCCUCAGAAAAUCACUUGUCUGAUGCUCAGGCAGAGCCCAGCAAACACCCCAACCCCCUGGAGGUGCCACGAGGAAAGGAGUGUCUUCAGAGAGCUUCCGGGGGAGCCAGCCCUAUGAAGCCCUCCACGUUCACCAGGAGUUCAUCGCAGCUGCAGCCAGGCUGGGAAGGAGAGGUGGCCGCAGGCAGGCAGCGUGUCUGUUCCGGAUGAAACCGCAGCCCCAGCCCUGCCCCCUGGAGCCCUCUCUGGCGCUGGGUGGACAAAGCUGCAGUGCACAGGCCAGAGAAGGCCAAGGAGCCACCCAGGUGAGGCCCGAGCUGCCUGGAGUCAUCUGUGUGGACCCCAGGCCACGUAACUGCCUCAGCACACCCGACCUCCAACUCACAUUCCUCACAGGCGUCCCGGGAAAGGGGACCACCCACUCAGCAGGAGCUCCCUGAGCCAGCUCUGUGGAUGGAGCAAACUGACUUGGAAAUCAAAGUGAUGCCCAGACGAAGCAAGAGACAGCCCCGGACCAGCCCCCGGGCCACACCCGCGCACCAGCCAGGACCAGGCCCCGCGGAGGCUCGCUGGGAAGCUGGUGCUGUGUUGUUUCCCCGCCAGCUGCUUGCUUCCUCCCGGGCUCACUGGAGUGCAAACUGCUUUCGCUUGUUUGAAAUGGAAAUUUUUUCCUCUCUUU